rnacentral:rRNA from 1 species
CGUUCCCGGGUCUUGUACACACCGCCCGUCACACCACGAGAGUUUACAACACCCGAAGUCGGUGGGGUAACCCGCAAGGGAGCCAGCCGCCGAAGGUGGGGUAGAUGACUGGGGUG